rnacentral:rRNA from 1 species
CAGACGGGUGAGUAACGCGUGGGAACAUACCCUUUCCUGCGGAAUAGCUCCGGGAAACUGGAAUUAAUACCGCAUACGCCCUACGGGGGAAAGAUUUAUCGGGGAAGGAUUGGCCCGCGUUGGAUUAGCUAGUUGGUGGGGUAAAGGCCUACCAAGGCGACGAUCCAUAGCUGGUCUGAGAGGAUGAUCAGCCACAUUGGGACUGAGACACGGCCCAAACUCCUACGGGAGGCAGCAGUGGGGAAUAUUGGACAAUGGGCGCAAGCCUGAUCCAGCCAUGCCGCGUGAGUGAUGAAGGCCUUAGGGUUGUAAAGCUCUUUCACCGGAGAAGAUAAUGACGGUAUCCGGAGAAGAAGCCCCGGCUAACUUCGUGCCAGCAGCCGCGGUAAUACGAAGGGGGCUAGCGUUGUUCGGAAUUACUGGGCGUAAAGCGCACGUAGGCGGAUAUUUAAGUCAGGGGUGAAAUCCCAGAGCUCAACUCUGGAACUGCCUUUGAUACU